rnacentral:rRNA from 1 species
CAGUCGCCGCGGGAAUACUAAGGGUGCAAGCGUUAAUCGGAAUUACUGGGCGUAAAGCGUGCGUAGGCGGUUUGUUAAGUCUGCUGUGAAAUCCCCGGGCUCAACCUGGGAAUGGCAGUGGAUACUGGCAAGCUAGAGUGUGUCAGAGGAUGGUGGAAUUCCCGGUGUAGCGGUGAAAUGCGUAGAGAUCGGGAGGAACAUCAGUGGCGAAGGCGGCCAUCUGGGACAACACUGACGCUGAGGCACGAAAGCGUGGGGAGCAAACAGGAUUAGAUACCCCCGUAGUCCCUGUCUCUUAUAC